CGGGAAUAGCUCAGUGGUAGAGCACAACCUUGCCAAGGUUGGGGUCGCGAGUUCGAGCCUCGUUUCCCGCUC
rnacentral:tRNA from 2 species